UUACUACUCACCCCUCACCCCCACACUCCUUACCCUCACCCUUCAGCCCUCACCCCAACUCCUUACCACUCACCCCUCAUCCCCACACUGCUUACCACUCACCCCUCACCCUUCAGCCCUCACCCCAACUCCUUACCACUCACCCCUCACCCCCACACUCCUUACCACUCACCCCCACACUCCUUACCACUCACCCCUCAUCCCCACACUCCUUACCACUCACCCCUCACCCUUCAGCCCUCACCCCAACUCCUUACCACUCACCCCUCACCCCCACACUCCUUACCACUCACCCCUCACCCUUCAGCCCUCACCCCAACUCCUUACCACUCACCCUUCAGCCCUCAUCCCAACUCCUUACCACUCACCCUCACCCCCACACUCCUUACCACUAACCCCUCACCCCCACACUCCUUACCACUCACACUUCAGCCCUCACCUCAACUCCUCACCACUCACCCCUCACCCCCACACUCCUUACCACUCACCCCCACACUCCUUACCACUCACCCCUCAUCCCCACACUCCUUACCACUCACCCCUCACCCUUCAGCCCUCACCCCAACUCCUUACUACUCACCCCUCACCCCCACACUCCUUACCACUCACCCCUCACCCUUCAGCCCUCACCCCAACUCCUUACCACUCACCCUUCAGCCCUCACCCCAACUCCUCACCACUCACCCCUCACCCCCACACUCCUCACCACUCACCCUUCAGCCCUCACCCCAAUUCCUUACUACUCACCCCUCACCCCCACACUCCUCACCCUCACCCUUCACCCUUCAGCCCUCACCCCAACUCCUCACCCUCACCCUUCACCCCCAACUCCUUACCACUCACCCCCACACUCCUUACCCUCACCCUUCACCAUUUACCUCCACACUCCUCACCCUUUCCCCCCUACACUCCUCACCUCACACCCUAGUCAUCACCCCUUACCCCCUCCUUCUCACCCCUCAUUCUUUUGGUUCUUUAUCACUAGUCCCUAGUCCCUGGUCUGACUCAGCAAGGCUUGCCCUUUGUCCCAGACAAGGGUUGCACUGAAUACCUUUCAAUAGCUCUUUACACCGUCUCCCCAUGUGCCUCAAGACGGACAGGGAUGAUUCUACUAUUGGGAUUUUGUAUUGUUUUGUAAAAAGGUUAUUGAGUUUUGUUAUGACAGAACUGCUAUUUCAGAAGGUUGUAUCAUCCUCCAUGUCCAUCUAGAAUUGUUUUCCAUGUCUUUGAUCAUCAGAUCCACUAACAGACACUCAGAUUUCUAUCUGCCAACAACUCUUAUUGUUUCCCCUGCAAACUCCUCUCAACUCUUUGAUGUUGAUACUCUGAAGAUCCUGGCAGAUGGAGAGACAGAAUGAAGAGAAAACCUGAAGAAAACAAAACCAGUCAACACAAGGACGUGUGUCAGCCCCAGCAGCCAUGUCUGCUGUCUGACUGAAUCAUCACUGGGUGUGGUGUGGUGUGGUGUGAUAUGGUGUGGUAUGGUGAGGUAUGGUGUGGUAUGGUGUGGUAGGGUGAGGUAUGCUGUGGUGUGGUAUGGUGUGGUAUGGUGAGGUAGGGUGAGGUAUGCUGUGGUGUGGUAUGGUGUGGUAUGGUGAGGUAUGGUGUGGUAGGGUGAGUUAUGGUGUGGUGUGGUGUGGUGUGGUGUGUGUGUGUGUGUGUGUGUGUGUGUGUGUGUGUGUGUGUGUGUGUGUGUGUGUGUGUGUGUGUGUGUGUGUGUGUGUGUGUGUGUGUGUGUGUGUGUGUGUGUGAAUACCCCUGCUGAUGAGCCUGUCCUUGUUUACCAUGUCCCUCUGAGAUUUGUUUUUAAAUCAGCUUGGCUUACAGCUAUACAUAAACUGUUCAUUGGGAAUCGCUUUGUGGUAUUGUGGUGGGUUCGUUGUCUGAAGGACAGUUGAAGGCAGCGAUGCACAACAGAGUGUUCAGCUUCAGACAGAAAUGAAAGGGAGAGUCGGUUACUGGUUCAAUGUUUUUCUGUAACAGGAAAACAACAAAUAUUGCAUUUACAGUAUUUUGCUCUAGGUGCACAGAGCUGGGUCGCUAUGAACACAUGUUACUAAAACACUAUUCUAGUCAAUCAACCUCUCAUUCAGAUUCAUCACUGCAUAUCCAGUCCCAUGUACAGGUAUAUUAUGCUGCUAGCCUUUAUGAUAAAUAUUAAAUAUGACUUAUUAAGUUUGGAUUGUUUUAUACAGAUUCCAUUAGUCGGUGUAUCAUCAUUCUAUUUGAAUAUGUUAAUGUACAUAAAAGUGUGUUAAUUACAGGAGAUGCAUGUUUGAAGUGUUUAUUUACAUAUAAUUGUAUUUUAAAUGUUAAAAAAUGUAUGAAUUAUUUUUUAUAUUGAGGGAAGCAAAAUUGAACUGGUACCUUUUUGGGUGAGACUGAAACAGAACCCUAAGUCAAUGGAAAAUGUCAGUACAAUGCAUGGCAUUGUGUGCGGUAGCUAUUCUUCAGUGGGACCUGAUGGUUAUCAUCUGACAAGAGAUACUGUACCGUGUACGUACGGGGUUGGGAGACAGAGAACGUUUUGUUUUUCACAACAUUUCCACUGAAUGUGUUAAAUAAUAAUACGUAUAUUAUUUCCUCAUGUGGAGUUGUUCAUAUUUCCUUUUUUUAAAUAGCAUUAUUUUAUUGUGUAAAGUGUGCGGUUGAGCAUUAUGUUUUGGUAAGGAAAAUAUAUACAGCGAUAAUAAAAUGAUUACAAUAACAUUGAUU
ensembl:lncRNA